ACAAGGUUUCCGUAGGUGAACCUGCGGAAGGAUCAUUGACGAGUCCGAAAACCUAGACCGUGAACGUGUCGUCGUUGUGUUGGAAAUCGUGGUUGGCCUGGCCUCCCGUCCCGCCGUCCCGCGGCGGGCAUGACAAUAUACCCCCCCAAGGCGCCUCGCUUGCGCCAAGGAACGUGUGAAAGGAAACUUGUGGUGAGCGUGGCUCACCAUGAAAAUGAAAAAACGACUCUCGGCAACGGAUAUCUCGGUUCUCGCAUCGAUGAAGAACGUAGCGAAAUGCGAUACUUGGUGUGAAUUGCAGAAUCCCGCGAACCAUCGAGUCUUUGAACGCAAGUUGCGCCCGAGGCGAUUCCGUCGAGGGCACGUCUGCCUGGGCGUCACGCAUCGCGUCGCGUAUGCCCCUCCCCCUCUCCCGGGAAGGGGCGGGAUGCGCGGAAGGUGACCUCCCGUGAGCGCGCGCGCUCUCGGUUGGCCUAAAUGUGUUGUGGCCCGGCGGUGGACGGGCGCCACGAGCAAUGGUGGUCGCGUACUUAUCAUGCCCCUGGCGCCGGAGUCACCGUGGGACCCCUAGAGCGUUCGUUCUCCCUUGUGGCGAGGCACGCGUGCGCGCGGCGUCCUCGGCCUUCGACCGCGACCCCAGGUCAGGCGGGAUCACCCGCUGAGUUUAAGCAUAUCAAUA
rnacentral:rRNA from 1 species